AGAGUUUGAUCCUGGCUCAGGACGAACGCUGGCGGCGUGCUUAACACAUGCAAGUCGAACGGUGAAGUCCCUUCGGGGGCGGAUCAGUGGCGAACGGGUGAGUAACACGUGGGCAAUCUGCCCCUCACUGUGGGAUAACUCCGGGAAACCGGGGCUAAUACCGCAUAUGAAGCCUGGCGGCAUCGCCGGGUUUGGAAAGUUUUUCGGUGAGGGAUGAGCCCGCGGCCUAUCAGCUUGUUGGUGAGGUAAUGGCUCACCAAGGCGACGACGGGUAGCCGGCCUGAGAGGGCGACCGGCCACACUGGGACUGAGACACGGCCCAGACUCCUACGGGAGGCAGCAGUGGGGAAU
rnacentral:rRNA from 1 species